UAAAGAGUUCUAUAACUCCCAAACCCAUGUGAACAUACCUAACGUUGCCUCGGCAGGUCGCACCUACCUUGUAGCACCCUACCCUGUAGGGCCUACCCGGGAGGUGCGGGUAAGCCUGCCGGCGGCCCACCAAACUCUGUUUGAUAUUGAAUUCUGAACCUAUAACUAAAUAAGUUAAAACUUUCAACAACGGAUCUCUUGGUUCUGGCAUCGAUGAAGAACGCAGCGAAAUGCGAUAAGUAAUGUGAAUUGCAGAAUUCAGUGAAUCAUCGAAUCUUUGAACGCAUAUUGCGCCCAUUAGUAUUCUAGUGGGCAGGACCGUUCGAGCGUCAUUUCAACCCUUAAGCCUUCGUUGCUUAGUGUUGGGAGCCUACGGCAACGUAGCUCCUCAAAGUUAGUGGCGGAGUUGGUUCACACUCUAGACGUAGUAAUUUUUUAUCUCGCCUAUUAGUUGGACUAAUCCCCUGCCGUAAAACCCCCAAUUUAUCAAGGUUGACCUCGAAUCGGUUCAGACAAACUCGCUAAAUUGAAGCAUCUUAGUCAGCGAAGGAAAAGAAACCAACA
rnacentral:rRNA from 1 species